UACUCCUAUCGGAGGCAGCAGUGGGGAAUAUUGCACAAUGGGCGCAAGCCUGAUGCAGCCAUGCCGCGUGUAUGAAGAAGGCCUUCGGGUUGUAAAGUACUUUCAGCGGGGAGGAAGGGAGUAAAGUUAAUACCUUUGCUCAUUGACGUUACCCGCAGAAGAAGCACCGGCUAACUCCGUGCCAGCAGCCGCGGUAAUACGGAGGGUGCAAGCGUUAAUCGGAAUUACUGGGCGUAAAGCGCACGCAGGCGGUUUGUUAAGUCAGAUGUGAAAUCCCCGGGCUCAACCUGGGAACUGCAUCUGAUACUGGCAAGCUUGAGUCUCGUAGAGGGGGGUAGAAUUCCAGGUGUAGCGGUGAAAUGCGUAGAGAUCUGGAGGAAUACCGGUGGCGAAGGCGGCCCCCUGGACGAAGACUGACGCUCAGGUGCGAAAGCCUAACCCC
rnacentral:rRNA from 1 species